rnacentral:sRNA from 1 species
UAACAAAAUUAUACUACGGAUGAGCCUAAAUUUGCUUACGAUUAGGAAUGAAAUUUUGAUC